rnacentral:rRNA from 1 species
GACGCCGCGUGUGUGAUGAAGGCUUUCGGGUCGUAAAGCACUGUUGUAAGGGAAGAAUAACUGAAUUCAGAGAAAGUUUUCAGCUUGACGGUACCUUACCAGAAAGGGAUGGCUAAAUACGUGCCAGCAGCCGCGGUAAUACGUAUGUCCCGAGCGUUAUCCGGAUUUAUUGGGCGUAAAGCGAGCGCAGACGGUUUAUUAAGUCUGAUGUGAAAUCCCGAGGCCCAACCUCGGAACUGCAUUGGAAACUGAUUUACUUGAGUGCGAUAGAGGCAAGUGGAACUCCAUGUGUAGCGGUGAAAUGCGUAGAUAUGUGGAAGAACACCAGUGGCGAAAGCGGCUUGCUAGAUCGUAACUGACGUUGAGGCUCGAAAGUAUGGGUAGCAAACGGGAUUAGAUACCCCGGUAGUCCAUACCGUAAACGAUGGGUGCUAGUUGUUAAGAGGUUUCCGCCUCCUAGUGACGUAGCAAACGCAUUAAGCACCCCGCCUGAGGAGUACGGCCGCAAGGCUAAAACUUAAAGGAAUUGACGGGGACCCGCACAAGCGGUGGAGCAUGUGGUUUAAUUCGAAGAUACGCGAAAAACCUUACCAGGUCUUGACAUACCAAUGAUCGCUUUUGUAAUGAAAGCUUUUCUUCGGAAC